AGAGCUUGAUCCUGGCUCAGGAUGAACGCUAGCGGCAGGCCUAAUACAUGCAAGUCGAGGGGUAACAGGUGUAGCAAUACAUGCUGACGACCGGCGCACGGGUGCGUAACACGUAUAUAAUCUACCUUUUACUGGAGAAUAGCCCGAAGAAAUUCGGAUUAAUACUCCAUAAUAAUAUUGAGGGGCAUCUCUUGAUAUUUAAAGUUCAGACGGUAAAAGAUGAGUAUGCGCGAUAUUAGCUAGUUGGUGAGGUAACGGCUCACCAAGGCGACGACAUCUAGGGGUACUGAGAGGUUACACCCCCACACUGCUACUGAGACACGGACCAGACUCCUACGGGAGGCAGCAGUAAGGAAUAUUGGACAAUGGUCGCAAGACUGAUCCAGCCAUGCCGCGUGCAGGAUGACUGCCCUAUGGGUUGUAAACUGCUUUUAUACGGGAAUAAACCCGGGUACGUGUACCCGGCUGAAUGUACUGUAAGAAUAAGGGUCGGCUAACUUCGUGCCAGCAGCCGCGGUAAGACGAAGGACCCAAGCGUUAUCCGGAUUCAUUGGGUUUAAAGGGUGCGUAGGCGGGUUGAUAAGUCAGUGGUGAAAGCCCAACGCUUAACGUUGAACUGCCAUUGAUACUGUCGAUCUUGAAUGUGUUUGAUGUGGGCGGAAUAUGACAUGUAGCGGUGAAAUGCUUAGAUAUGUCAUAGAACACCGAUUGCGAAGGCAGCUCACAAAGCCACUAUUGACGCUGAGGCACGAAAGCGUGGGGAUCAAACAGGAUUAGAUACCCUGGUAGUCCACGCCGUAAACUUUGAUCACUCGCUGUUGGCGAUACACUGUCAGCGGCUAAGCGAAAGCGUUAAGUGAUCCACCUGGGGAGUACGGUCGCAAGACUGAAACUCAAAGGAAUUGACGGGGGCCCGCACAAGCGGUGGAGCAUGUGGUUUAAUUCGAUGAUACGCGAGGAACCUUACCAGGGCUUGAAAGUUAGCGACUUACCGUGAAAGCGGUGAUCCCUUCAGGGCGCGAAACUAGGUGCUGCAUGGCUGUCGUCAGCUCGUGCCGUGAGGUGAUGGGUUAAGUCCCGCAACGAGCGCAACCCCUACUUCUAGUUGCCAACAGGUAAUGCUGGGGACUCUAGAGGAACUGCCCGCGCAAGCGGUGAGGAAGGUGGGGACGGCGUCAAGUCAUCACGGCCCUUACGUCCUGGGCUACACACGUGCUACAAUGGCGGAGACAACGGGCAGCUACACUGCGAAGUGAUGCUAAUCUCUAAACUCCGUCUCAGUUCGGAUUGAAGUCUGCAACUCGACUUCAUGAAGCUGGAAUCGCUAGUAAUCGCGUAUCAGCAAUGACGCGGUGAAUACGUUCCCGGGCCUUGUACACACCGCCCGUCAAACAAUGGAAGCUGGGAGUACCUAAAGUCAGUAGUCGCAAGACGCUGCCUAGGGUAAAACCGGUAACUGGUGUUAAGUCGAAACAAGGUAGCCGUACCGGAAGGUGCGGCUG
rnacentral:rRNA from 1 species